rnacentral:lncRNA from 1 species
AGUGUAGAAUGCCUGGUUCACGAGGUUCUAAGCCCAACAACAACAACAACAAUCCAGUAUAAUCCCACUUAGUGGGGUCUGGGAGGGUAGUAUGUACGCAGACCUUACCCGUACCCUGGGGUAGACAUGCUGUUUCCAAAUAGACCCCCGACAUCCUUCCCUCCAAGAACUUCCCACCUUUCUCUUGGGGAGAAUCGAACUCACAACCUCUCGGUUG